AAGAGUUUGGCCUGCCCAGUGAGAUUUUAACGGCCGCGGUACUCUGACCGUGCAAAGGUAGCAUAAUCAUUUGCCUUAUAAUUGAAGGCUAGUAUGAAAGGUUUAACGAAAGUUAGGCUGUCUUUUUUUGAAUAAAAUGAAAUUAACCUAUAGGUGCAAAGGCCUAUAUUUAACUAAAAGACAAGAAGACCCUAUUGAGCUUUGUAAAGAUAUAGUAGAAUAAAAUAUAUAAGCAAAAUUUUAAUCUGCUUAAAUUUUUAGUUGGGGCGACUUAGGAAUAAAAAUAACUUCCUAGCAUUAAGAAUAUUUAUAGCUUUUUUAUCCUAAAAAUUUGGAUUGUCAGAAUUAGUUACCAUAGGGAUAACAGCAUAAUCUUUCUUAAGAGUUCUAAUCGGAAGAAAGGAUUGUGACCUCGAUGUUGGACUAGAAUAUCCUAAAGGUGCAGAAGUUUUUAAGGGUUAGUCUGUUCG
rnacentral:rRNA from 1 species